UACGUAGGGUGCGAGCGUUAAUCGGAAUUACUGGGCGUAAAGCGUGCGCAGGCGGUGAGGGAAGACCGGUGUGAAAUCCCCGGGCUUAACCUGGGAACUGCAUUUGUGACUGCAUCGCUGGAGUGCGGCAGAGGGGGAUGGAAUUCCGCGUGUAGCAGUGAAAUGCGUAGAUAUGCGGAGGAACACCGAUGGCGAAGGCAAUCCCCUGGGCCUGCACUGACGCUCAUGCACGAAAGCGUGGGGAGCAAACAGG
rnacentral:rRNA from 1 species